ACUUGGGUAAGAUAACUUCUAAGAAUAAAGUAUCAGAGUUAUUUUGAAAAAAAUGAAUAGAAGUAAGUAUUUUGGGAAAGCUGAAAAUUAUGAGUAUCUGAACACUGAGGGCAUGUUUCAAGACUCCUGUUUUCACUAAAAUCUAAUCUUUGUUUAAGCAUUUCAACUUGAGCAAGGAACACCAUCACCCCGUCACCCUGACUUUUCUGUGAAUUUGCUUUUACAGCUACACAAGAAUGUGUGUCUCGUCUGUUCCCUGCAGCAUUCAUUAGCUCUGUUUCAGAUUCAGGGAGCAGUCAGUCAGUGUUACUAGGACCUCUUCAUACUAAACAAACUUGAGUUCCUUGUAAGAAAAUCAUGCAUAUACGCAAAGUAUGCGUAAUUUCUCUUGUCUUUGCUUAUUUAAUAUUUAUGACCAUGUGUUAAAAAACAAACCUGUAAACUUCAUGGUACAAAGCAUUUGUAACAUUU
rnacentral:lncRNA from 1 species